rnacentral:rRNA from 1 species
ACGGGUGAGUAACGCGUGGGAAUCUACCCAUCUCUACGGAAUAACGCAUGGAAACGUGUGCUAAUACCGUAUACGUCCUUCGGGAGAAAGAUUUAUCGGAGAUGGGUGAGCCCGCGUUGGAUUAGCUAGUUGGUGGGGUAAAGGCCUACCAAGGCGACGAUCCAUAGCUGGUCUGAGAGGAUGAUCAGCCACACUGGGACUGAGACACGGCCCAGACUCCUACGGGAGGCAGCAGUGGGGAAUAUUGGACAAUGGGCGCAAGCCUGAUCCAGCCAUGCCGCGUGAGUGAUGAAGGCCCUAGGGUUGUAAAGCUCUUUCACCGGUGAAGAUAAUGACGGUAACCGGAGAAGAAGCCCCGGCUAACUUCGUGCCAGCAGCCGCGGUAAUACGAAGGGGGCUAGCGUUGUUCGGAUUUACUGGGCGUAAAGCGCACGUAGGCGGACUAUUAAGUCAGGGGUGAAAUCCCGGGGCUCAACCCCGGAACUGCCUUUGAUACUGGUAGUCUUGAGUUCGAGAGAGGUGAGUGGAAUUCCGAGUGUAGAGGUGAAAUUCGUAGA